CGUGUGGUUCUAUUUUGUUGGUUUCUAGGACCGCCGUAAUGAUUAAUAGGGACAGUCGGGGGCAUCAGUAUUCAAUUGUCAGAGGUGAAAUUCUUGGAUCUAUUGAAGACUAACUACUGCGAAAGCAUUUGCCAAGGAUGUUUUCAUUGAUAAGGAACGAAAGUUAGGGGAUCGAAGACGAUCAGAUACCGUCGUAGUCUUAACUAUAAACUAUGCCGACUAGGGAUCGGACGAUGUUAUUUUUUGACUCGUUCGGCACCUUUCGAGAAAUCAAAGUGCUUGGGCUCCAGGGGGAGUAUGGUCGCAAGGCUGAAACUUAAAGAAAUUGACGGAAGGGCACCACCAGGGGUGGAACCUGCGGCUUAAUUUGACUCAACACGGGGAAACUCACCAGGUCCAGACACAGUGAGGAUUGACAGAUUGAUAGCUCUUUCUUGAUUCUGUGGGUGGUGGUGCAUGGCCGUUCUUAGUUGGUGGAGUGAUUUGUCUGCUUAAUUGCGAUAACGAACGAGACCUUAACCUGCUAAAUAGCCCGUAUUGCUUUGGCAGUACGCCGGCUUCUUAGAGGGACUAUCGGCUCAAGCCGAUGGAAGUUUGAGGCAAUAACAGGUCUGUGAUGCCCUUAGAUGUCCUGGGCUGCACGCGCGUUACACUGACAGAGCCAGCGAGUUCUUUCCUUGACCGGAAGGUCCGGGUAAUCUUGUUAAACUCUGUCGUGC
rnacentral:rRNA from 1 species